rnacentral:tRNA from 1 species
GGUAGAGUGGCUGAGUGUUAAGCGGCGGAUUGUAAUCCCGAUGGAAAAGGUUAAAGUCCUUUUUUUACC